rnacentral:rRNA from 1 species
AUUGAACGCUGGCGGCAUGCCUUACACAUGCAAGUCGAACGGUAACGCGGGGCAACCUGGCGACGAGUGGCGAACGGGUGAGUAAUGUAUCGGAACGUGCCCAGUUGUGGGGGAUAACUGCUCGAAAGAGCAGCUAAUACCGCAUACGACCUGAGGGUGAAAGCGGGGGAUCGCAAGACCUCGCGCAAUUGGAGCGGCCGAUAUCAGAUUAGGUAGUUGGUGGGGUAAAGGCUCACCAAGCCGACGAUCUGUAGCUGGUCUGAGAGGACGACCAGCCACGCUGGGACUGAGACACGGCCCAGACUCCUACGGGAGGCAGCAGUGGGGAAUUUUGGACAAUGGGCGCAAGCCUGAUCCGGCCAUGCCGCGUGCGGGAAGAAGGCCUUCGGGUUGUAAACCGCUUUUGUCAGGGAAGAAAAGGCUCCUGUUAAUACCGGGGGCUCAUGACGGUACCUGAAGAAUAAGCACCGGCUAACUACGUGCCAGCCGCCGCAGUAA